GUGACCAUGCAAUGUAGCGUGAAGUCCAAGUGGCCAAAAGUGGUGCAGCACAUAUAAACUUGACAAGUGAUAAAUGCAUGAAGAUUGCUAAGUGUCUACUUCAUGGAGCGGCACAUGGAUGGAGGGCCUACAUGCAUGGCAAGUCCAAGCCAUGCAACGUGAGUUGGAAGCCCAUGCAGCGUGAAAAAAUUGAAUGGCAGCCCAUGUGGGGCGCACCAAAGUGGACAGCCCACUUUGGGUCCAAGCACUUGGCGGCAACUUUCCCUCCUUGCCCAUUUGAAAUGCUCCAAGUG
rnacentral:misc_RNA from 1 species